ensembl:rRNA 5S_rRNA 5S ribosomal RNA
UAGUGUGGCCAUACCAGUCUGUCAUUGCCCGAUCUCGUUAGAUCUCAGAAGCUAAGCAGGUCUGGGCCUGGUUAGUAGUUGGAUGGAACACCACUGAGAAUUCCAGGUGCCACUGUCA